GAUGAACGCUAGCUACAGGCUUAACACAUGCAAGUCGAGGGGCAGCGCAGUGUAGCAAUACAUGGGCGGCGACCGGCGCACGGGUGCGUAACGCGUAUCCAACCUUCCCGUUACUCAGGGAUAGCCUUCCGAAAGGGAGAUUAAUACCUGAUGGUGUUGAAAUUCCGCAUGUUAUUUCAACUAAAGAUUUAUCGGUAACGGAUGGGGAUGCGUGACAUUAGAUAGUAGGCGGGGUAACGGCCCACCUAGUCUACGAUGUCUAGGGGUUCUGAGAGGAAGGUCCCCCCACACUGGAACUGAGACACGGUCCAGACUCCUACGGGAGGCAGCAGUGAGGAAUAUUGGUCAAUGGUCGGAAGACUGAACCAGCCAAGUAGCGUGAAGGAUGAAGGUUCUAUGGAUUGUAAACUUCUUUUAUACGGGAAUAAAACCUCCCACGUGUGGGAGCUUGUAUGUACCGUAUGAAUAAGCAUCGGCUAACUCCGUGCCAGCAGCCGCGGU
rnacentral:rRNA from 1 species